AGAGUUUGACCCUGGCUCAGGAUGAACGCUGGCGGCGUGCUUAACACAUGCAAGUCGAACGAGCCUUCGGGCGAGUGGCGGACGGGUGAGUAACGCGUGGGAAUCUGCCCUUAGGAGGGGGAUAACGGCCGGAAACGGCCGCUAAUACCCCAUAUGCCGAGAGGUGAAAUGAAUUUCGCCUGAGGAUGAGCCCGCGUCUGAUUAGCUAGUUGGUGGGGUAAUGGCCCACCAAGGCGACGAUCAGUAGCUGGUCUGAGAGGAUGAUCAGCCACACUGGGACUGAGACACGGCCCAGACUCCUACGGGAGGCAGCAGUGGGGAAUUUUCCGCAAUGGGCGAAAGCCUGACGGAGCAACGCCGCGUGAGGGAUGAAGGCCUCUGGGCUGUAAACCUCUUUUCUCAAGGAAGAAGACAUGACGGUACUUGAGGAAUAAGCCACGGCUAAUUCCGUGCCAGCAGCCGCGGUAAUACGGGAGUGGCAAGCGUUAUCCGGAAUUAUUGGGCGUAAAGCGUCCGCAGGCGGCCUUGUAAGUCUGUCGUUAAAGCGUGGAGCUUAACUCCAUUUCAGCGAUGGAAACUACAAGGCUUGAGUGUGGUAGGGGCAGAGGGAAUUCCCGGUGUAGCGGUGAAAUGCGUAGAUAUCGGGAAGAACACCAGUGGCGAAGGCGCUCUGCUGGGCCAUAACUGACGCUCAUGGACGAAAGCCAGGGGAGCGAAAGGGAUUAGAUACCCCUGUAGUCCUGGCCGUAAACGAUGAACACUAGGUGUCGGGGGAAUCGACCCCCUCGGUGUCGUAGCUAACGCGUUAAGUGUUCCGCCUGGGGAGUACGCACGCAAGUGUGAAACUCAAAGGAAUUGACGGGGGCCCGCACAAGCGGUGGAGUAUGUGGUUUAAUUCGAUGCAACGCGAAGAACCUUACCAGGGUUUGACAUCCUGCGAAUCCCUUGGAAACGAGGGAGUGCCUUCGGGAGCGCAGAGACAGGUGGUGCAUGGCUGUCGUCAGCUCGUGUCGUGAGAUGUUGGGUUAAGUCCCGCAACGAGCGCAACCCACGUCUUUAGUUGCCAGCAUUCAGUUGGGCACUCUAGAGAGACCGCCGGUGAUAAACCGGAGGAAGGUGUGGAUGACGUCAAGUCAUCAUGCCCCUUACAUCCUGGGCUACACACGUACUACAAUGCUACGGACAAAGGGUUGCAAGCUCGCGAGAGUUAGCUAAUCCCAUAAACCGUGGCUCAGUUCAGAUCGUAGGCUGCAACUCGCCUACGUGAAGGAGGAAUCGCUAGUAAUCGCAGGUCAGCAUACUGCGGUGAAUACGUUCCCGGGCCUUGUACACACCGCCCGUCACACCAUGGAAGUUGGCCAUGCCCGAAGUCGUUACUCCAACCCUUGUGGAGGAGGACGCCGAAGGUGGGGCUGAUGACUGGGGUGAAGUCGUAACAAGGUA
rnacentral:rRNA from 1 species